rnacentral:lncRNA from 1 species
GCCCCCAUAACCACUACCCGAAAAGGGAAUGGGAACAAGUGGUACCCCAGGGACAUCAGACGAGUACAGAAAAAGGGGACUAGAGGAAUCUACAGCAGUAGAAGCAGUAGUGCUUGUGCUAGAAGCCAUAAUGAACCGGCUUAAAAAGGAUAACUUUUCAACAAACAGGAUACUACCAAAACAGGUAUACAAACACAGUAACCAACAAGCAAACUACAGUUAGGUCAAGUAGUCACAGAUACCACCAGAUGCUCACAAUUACAGAGUCAAGUAAUCACAUAUAAAAUCGAGGAUAGGAACAGAGUUACCCUCCUUCUUCGCGACCGGAGAAGAUCGGCCUUCAAACAACAGAGAAACCCUAUGUAUCAAACCCUAGGUAUAGCUUUUGAAAAAACAAACUUUACCGGAGAUCUGGUCAGGAACGUC